AUUGAACGCUGGCGGAAUGCUUUACACAUGCAAGUCGAGCGGCAGCGCGGCCUUCGGGCUGGCGGCGAGCGGCGAACGGGUGAGUAAUGCAUCGGAACAUGCCCAGUCGUGGGGGAUAACACUUCGAAAGAAGUGCUAAUACCGCAUACGUCCUGAGGGGGAAAGCGGGGGAUCGCAAGACCUCGCGCGAUUGGAGUGGCCGAUGUCAGAUUAGCUGGUUGGUGGGGUAACGGCCUACCAAGGCGACGAUCUGUAGCUGGUCUGAGAGGAUGAUCAGCCACACUGGGACUGUGACACGGCCCAGACUCCUACGGGAGGCAGCAGUGGGGAAUUUUGGACAAUGGGGGCAACCCUGAUCCAGCCAUUCCGCGUGAGUGAAGAAGGCCUUCGGGUUGUAAAGCUCUUUCGGCAGGAACGAAACGGUGGGCUCUAACAUAGUCCGCUAAUGACGGUACCUGAAGAAGAAGCACCGGCUAACUACGUG
rnacentral:rRNA from 1 species